rnacentral:misc_RNA from 1 species
GAACGCACAUUGCGCCCUCUGGUAUUCCGGAGGGCAUGCCUGUCCGAGCGUCAUUGCUGCCCUCAAGCACGGCUUGUGUGUUGGGCCCCGUCCUCCGAUCCCGGGGGACGGGCCCGAAAGGCAGCGGCGGCACCGCGUCCGGUCCUCGAGCGUAUGGGGCUUUGUCACCCGCUCUGUAGGCCCGGCCGGCGCUUGCCGAUCAACCAAACUUUUAUCCAGGUUGACCUCGGAUCAGGUAGGGAUACCCGCUGAACUUA